rnacentral:rRNA from 1 species
GUAGGUGGCAAGCGUUGUCCGGAAUUAUUGGGCGUAAAGCGCGCGCAGGUGGGUUCUUUAAGUCUGAUGUGAAAGACCCCCGGGCUCAACCGGGGAGGGUCAUUGGAAACUGGGGAACUUGAGUGCAGGAGAGGAAAGUGGAAUUCCACGUGUAGCGGUGAAAUGCGUAGAUAUGUGGAGGAACACCAGUGGCGAAGGCGACUUUCUGGCCUGUAACUGACACUGAGGCGCGAAAGCGUGGGGAGCAAACAGGAUUAGAUACCCUGGUAGUCCACGCCGUAAACGAUGAGUGCUAAGUGUUGGGGGGGUUUCCGCCCCUCAGUGCUGCAGCUAACGCAUUAAGCACUCCGCCUGGGGAGUACGGUCGCAAGACUG